AUAGUACGAUCUCCAUGGAUUACCUGCUUAAUCUCUAAGGAACUCUAAUUUAAUAAUUAUGUUGUAUCUUUCAGGUUAAAUAGUAUGGCUUUAGAAGCAGAUUUAAAACUUGAAGUUUGAUCCUCAAGUUCCUUUCCAGGAUAUCGGUAAGGUUUUGGUUCUGCCUUAUAUCUGCUCUAGUGCCAAAUAUGCAGAAUGUUUUGCUCUCUUAUCUAUCUGAAAAAAACUUGAUUGGCUGAUUUGUUUAGCAGUGGUCCCAUUCACUGUAAAGAGGAAAGAUUCCAUCAUCAGUAUAUUCCUUUGACCUGGUAUUCACAGUCCCCUAUCAGCUUUAUGCGUUACUGACCUCCACAGGCAUUUUAGGGGAAGGCACAGCAGGAAAAGAGACGAAGGCAUGUUACUACCAUCUGUUGCCGCAAGAAAGAGUCUGGCUUGAUUCCCAUGUCUGCAGCUCAGCUCUUGAAUGGGCAGGAUCAGGAAACACCACGGAGGUGUAAGAAUAUCUCAUAAAUAGAGUCGGCUUGAACACAGAACGGACUCUGAGCAUGCCUCAAGCUUAGCACAUACGGAGAGUGAAUGGUUGUAGAAGGAACUUGGAAAUAUGCAGUUGAGGUUUUUGCUCAAGUAUUCUAAACUUGUGAAUUUGGUUUCCAAGUAGUCUAAGUAACAAUCAGAGAUUAUUCCGCCUGCGAACUGUACAAUAUUACAAGGUUAGACUUCAGAUGUGGUUUAACUCACCCUGCAACAUAAGCACCCAUAGUUUGUUAUGAUGAUCUUCCUUUGGAUGGAAAUGCAUGGAUGGAAAUGCAUUAGUGGUGUCUGCGCAAAUAAUCAGUGAAGAGUAGCGAGAAGAAAAAGCCUCGCAUAGCACCCUGUGUACUCACAGGGUCACAUUGCCUGUUUCUGUUAGUACU
rnacentral:lncRNA from 1 species